rnacentral:rRNA from 1 species
AGUUUUUAACUCAAGUGGCGGACGGGUGGGUAACACGUAAGAAUUUGCCUUUAGGAGGGGGAUAACAACUGGAAACGGUUGCUAAUACCCUAUAUGCUUUCGAGUAAAAUGGAUUUUUCCGCCUAAAGAGAAGCUUGCGGCUGAUUAGCUUGUUGGUGAGGUAAUGGCUUACCAAGGCGACGAUCAGUAUCUGGUUUGAGAGGACGAUCAGACACACUGGAACUGAGACACGGUCCAG